GGUACAGGAGGCGGCAGGACCCGCGGCGGCAGCGGCGGCGCGGGCGGAGAUGGCGCAGCGGGGCAUGGCCGCCGAGUUCUGGCAGGUGCCGGCUGUCACGCGUGCCUACACGGCGGCCUGCGUGCUAACCACCGCGGCCGUGCAGCUGGAGCUCAUCACCCCCUUCCAGCUGUACUUCAACCCGGACCUCAUCUUCCGGAAGUUCCAGGUGUGGAGGCUCAUCACCAGCUUCCUCUUCUUCGGGCCCCUGGGAUUCAGCUUCUUCUUCAACAUGCUUUUCCUCUACAGGUACUGCCGCAUGCUGGAGGAAGGCUCCUUCCGGGGGCGGACGGCCGACUUCGUCUUCAUGUUUCUCUUCGGGGGAGUCCUUAUGACACUCUUUGGGCUUCUGGCCAGCCUCUUCUUCCUGGGCCAGGCCUUCACCAUCAUGCUGGUGUACGUGUGGAGCCGGCGGAACCCAUACCUCCGGAUGAACUUCUUUGGCCUCCUCAACUUCCAGGCACCCUUCCUGCCCUGGGUGCUGAUGGCCUUCUCUCUGCUUCUGGGCAACUCAGUCCUAGUGGACCUACUGGGGAUUGCUGUAGGUCACAUCUAUUACUUCCUUGAAGAUGUCUUCCCCAACCAGCCUGGGGGCAAGAAGCUCCUGCUAACCCCAGGCUUCCUGAAGCAGCUCUUCAAUGCCCCUGAAGUGGACCCAAAUUACAUGCCCCUUCCUGAGGAGCAGCUGGGCCAGGAUCCUGUGGACCACCAACAGUAACUACUUCUUUCUUCCAAGCUGGAAAAGGUCUCCAUGACCACAGCUACCUCCGUCCUCUGGUUCCUGGCUGCAGAUCUUCCCCUUUUCUCAAGGAAAGGCUUGGGAUGUGUCUCCUCCCGUCGGAUCAAGAACCCAGGGUCAAGAAGGGUUUGAGAAGCUGAUGGGUGAUGGGCUGGCCAGGCUCCACCCCAGACCUGAGGUACCCUCUCUCCCCACAUCAGGUAACUGAGAGGCAGCAAAGGGCCCACCCCCAGUGCCCCUGAUCCCAGCCUUAGCUAAGGAAGUGAACACCCCACAUUCUCUUUAUUAAAAAAAAUCUUCCUAGCUGUGCCAUGGACACCUGUACACAUGGAACAAACCCCAUCAGCCCAGAAAAGCCCUUCUGCACCUCCCCUGACCCCGGGCCAGGGACGGCAUCCACCCCUCCCCCCAGCCUCUUCUACUGAGAGGAAAAGGAGGGCCUCAUCUUCCAGAGACCUCACCGCCAAGGCCAGCAGGCUACCAGGCUGGGGCCGUGUUGGCCAAACGUCGCAUCCGCCUGUGGGAGCACAAGACACGAGGUUAAAGAAGGGAGGAGGCCGGAGCCAGUCUCACCCCCCUCCAACUACAGCCUGCCCUCUGGCAUCAGCUGACCGAUGGUCCCUGGGAAGGGCUGGGGCAAGGCCAGAGCUUGACUGACAUGGGGAGGAAGCCCUGGCUAACUGGGGGCAGGCCUUCCUUCGGGCUGAGAAGUCAGGACAGACCUGUGUUCAAGUUGGGUGAACCUGUGAGAUGGGCGCCCUGACAGGGUUGCUGUAAAGAUGCCCCAGAGCACAUGACAAAGGCACCUGGUA